rnacentral:rRNA from 1 species
GAUGAACGCUGGCGGCGUGCCUAAUACAUGCAAGUAGAACGCUGAAGGAAGGAGCUUGCUCUUUCCGGAUGAGUUGCGAACGGGUGAGUAACGCGUAGGUAACCUGCCUGGUAGCGGGGGAUAACUAUUGGAAACGAUAGCUAAUACCGCAUAACAGUAGAUGUUGCAUGAUAUCUACUUAAAAGGUGCAAUUGCACCACUACCAGAUGGACCUGCGUUGUAUUAGCUAGUUGGUGAGGUAACGGCUCACCAAGGCGACGAUACAUAGCCGACCUGAGAGGGUGGUCGGCCACACUGGGACUGAGACACGGCCCAGACUCCUACGGGAGGCAGCAGUAGGGAAUCUUCGGCAAGGGACGGAAGUCUGACCGAGCAACGCCGCGUGAGUGAAGAAGGUUUUCGGAUCGUAAAGCUCUGUUGUAAGAGAAGAACGAGUGUGAGAGUGGAAAGUUCACACUGUGACGGUAUCUUACCAGAAAGGGACGGCUAACUACGU